rnacentral:lncRNA from 1 species
CAUUUUAUAUAUAUAUAUAUAUAUAUAUUAUGGAUUUGAAAGAAAAUUGAUGAGCAAAAUAAUUGGCCAAGAGAAAAUGAUCUUGUUAAAUAUAAAAAUGUUUAAACACUGUUCUCUAACAGUUUAAACUUUUAGAGUACAACGGCUGUUUCACAUGCUAUCAGAGCAGGAAGUCCUGAGUUCGAGUCACGCCAGGCUCCUAGCAUAUUAAUUUCCUCUCAUUUAAUUCAAGCCCACGUCAUGGGCCGAUUAAAAAGUCUCGAGCCCAGACGUGAGCGGAAGUGUUAAAUAUAAAAAUAUUUAAACACCGUUCUCUAACAGCAACGGUUGUUUCACAGACCUAAAAAGUACUUGUCUAUCAUCUUUAAUUUCUUUUAGUUCAUCAUCCCAAU